GAAAAUAAUAAUUUUUCAGAAUUUUUCAGAAAUAACUGGAUGAGAAUUUUGAGAAUAUUUCAGCAUCUCUAAGUAUGAACAUUUCUGUAAAAUAGUAAUAAUUUUUAAGAAUAUUUCUGAUUGCUAAGUUAUGAGGAAUAAGAAUCGUUCCAAUUCUAAAAAAAAUUCUGAGACAUCCUGAAAAAAUCUGAGAAAUUUUUCCACCAAGGAUAUCAUCCAUACUGCUCGUUUUUCUGCAUUUGUUGGCAAAGUUGCCACGUAACAUCUUCUUUUAUCCUUAUUUGUACAACCUCGUACACAAUACCCAGUCAUUUCGCUUACUUUUCUUACACUAAUAUUUUUAAUCCUAAAGUAAGGAAGGUUAUAUUGUAUACUCCUUAUAGAUAGCGACCAUACGAACGCCAUUUUCGAUCCACGAUGUCCAUACUCUUACUUGAGGUUCUCUACGAUGGACGAGCAAAAUAGCGGAUUCAUCGGAACUGAUCUAUAUAACAUAUUCUCAAUGCUGAAUGGCGGUGCAGUCGAUAAAUUUCGCAUUUAUUAAACACACUGAAACACACACACGCACACACCAUUCAGCACUCAGAGAGCCUCGUUAAUUUAUACUUUCUAGUUGCGACAUUUGCCGAGGAGAGGCGCCAGUGAUCAACAAAUUUUUCAAGCCACUCCGCCAAAUUUCGUGACGUAAUUUAAUAGCAAAUACGUUUAGUAUAAUUUCAUAGUUUUCAUCGUUAAGUCACGAAGGAAAUGGAUGAAUUUAUGCACUGAUUUUUUUCAAGCGCUCGAGUACCGAUUCUAUACGCAAGUUACGUUCGACCAGUCUUUACUGCAAGAUCUCAACGCUAUCUAUAACGAACAUGGCUGACUGAAAUGCAUUGUCUCAUUAGACGCGAGAGUUUAUACAUCGCGAAACGAGGAGCAGUAAUUCAUUAAAUGUAACAAUUUCGUGGAAAACAACGGCCGUGAUAAUGCAUAAAAGAAUCAUGUAAACGAUUCUCUUCGAGCUCGGUGUUCGAUUUUGUCGUCGAGAUUUUCCAGGAAUCGGAGAGCCAUAUAAUAUAUAUUUCUUAUGGGAAAUAGGAAGCACCGUCGCGGGGGCUGAAUACGCAAACAGGCAGCUUUGCAUCCCGGCAAGGACGGUGGAAGAUGCAUUUGCAUCGAAAUAACGUCCGAUGCGUUCGAGACGCGCGUCACGAGAGGCCCGCGUUAUGCCGUUUUCAUGAAUGAAACCGCUCCUGUUUCGUAUCAACAGGCGUCCUUUACUACGCAGCGGAAACAUCGAUCCGCUCCUUCGGGACCGCUCCUUCUCCCGUCCCCCGGCCGUCCUUCCACGAACUCAUUACAUUUUACGUUGUACAGGGUCGUAGCGAGAGCCCAAUGCCACGCCGAUUGUUAAAACGCUCGAUUGCGCGUCUACUUUGCAAAUGUAUUAACUAAUUUCACCCGCGAGAAUUCCACUCUAUCGUCUAGAUCAUUUAGGUAAUAUUAGUUUCGAUUCUCACCCCCCGCUGACCGAAUUCUAUUCUUAUAUUGCGUUCAAACGAUCAUUCGGAAUAGUAUAUCCAUUAUAUAGACUAAACGAAUUUAGUAAACCGCGUGAUACUCAAUUUAUCUCUCAUUUCUCGCAAGGGAAUUUUUUUCCGCAAGAGGGAGGAUAUUUCCAUAAAUUAAUUGGCCUCUGUAAUUUAGCGUAAUUUAAAUUCAUUCUAACAUGUAUUUGUGUAGCUCUUGAUUUCUUAACUUUAUUGUUUCUUUCAUUUACCGUUCCAGAGAGAAUUUCACUUCAUUUUGUCAAAAGUGUUUCCCGUGGCGGCGAGUCUACUUCUGAGUGAGUUUUCGAUCAAUUUCAUCAGACGUAACAGCACGCACGUGCGUUAUCAGGCUCGCGACACUCCGUCGACAUCAACAAGCACUCUUUAAUCCACUCACCAACGCGAACAAAUGGAUCUUGAAGGGGGUACGAGUCACGGGUCGUGUGACGUCACUGUAUUCUCACUCCCUCGCAACCGUUCGCCCCCUCGGCAACCCUCUCUCUUUAGCCAGCUGUGCCUCGGGGAUUCGCCACUUGGCGGGCUCAAAGACUGACGUCAAUGGGAGACCGGCCUACGAGGGGGAGGAAGGCGAGACGAGAUACUCGACGGAGAACUUGCGCGAUUUUACGAAACCCUGACGAUCACUAGACUAACCUGAUCGACCGGCUUCAGAAAAACCUGCUUUCCCCAGUUGGUGGAAAAGGCUCGGAUGUGACGUAAACGAGAAACUUGGCCAAUAUCGCGCGUUAUCUGUUUUUGCUCUUUCGCCAAACUUUAUCACUUAACUUCUGCGAAAGUUGACAGAAAUAAGGGGGAAAAAAUUUCUAUGUAGAAUUUCGCUCGUUUAUUGACUAAAGCAGGGAAAUGGGUAUUGCCGUCAAAAGAACAUGAUUUUAUUACAUAAAAUAGUUAAUAUAAAAUUAUUAAAGAGUUUACAAGAUUGAUUUUCUAUAUAUAUUGUUUUUAGAAAUUUUACUCUGUUAAACUCGUGAAAAUAUCAUUGUAGUAAAAUGUUUAAUAUUGUAUUUUUACGAUAGAUUUGCGUUGCUUGUUCUCUCGUUAAUGAUAAAUUUUACUCUGUCACGUUGUUUACGCAGCAGCUUGUGAACGGUAGCGAAUCGCGAAUGAUCAAUUGUACCAUUUACAGUUGGAGGAACGAGAACGAGCGAACGUAAAUGCGGGCGUAACGCGGCUCGUAAAUCAUCGUAAGCAAAUGGCACUGAUGAGAUUCUCCAGGCGCAUCAUUCAUAUGAAAGAGGGAAAGUUCAUUACGCUCUCGAAUUAAGGUCGCUGAGUGUGCUCCUUAAUAAUAAACGUGGAUAAUAAAUGAAGAAAAUAAAUAAUAAGUGAGGGGAGUGGCAAAAGGAGAACGGAUAUUUAACAUUUCAUGCAGCGGAGAUUCUCGUUUCAGACGAUCGCGCUCCCUUUUGCGUCAACCUUUUAAUCGUGCGGGGACCGAGAUGGGUACUCAUUGAUUGAGAUGCUUCAGGUUCAGCUUUGUCGUACGCGAAAUGUCACAUCGUCUCAAAGAAGCGACGUAAACACCUCGUGACACGGACAUGUUUCUACAUGGAUUCCCAAACUAUUCGCACGCACCAGUGACCCACUGCAAAAGUAAUGAACAUUCGCACAGUCCCAUCCUCCACAAUCCUCCAAAGAUAAUGACCUGGAAAUAUAACGGUCCAAGCCAGUGAAACGAGGCUAUUCGGAGAACUCUCUUUUCUCAAGCAUUUUCUCAGGACGAGUUUUUUCUCGAUUUCGCUAAGGUGAGAAAGUUCUUUCAAGAGGAGGUGAAUCGUGAGAGUUAAGCGGCCACGCUGAAUUUCAUUCAAGGGUUGGCAGAAGGGCGCAAACAUACCAAUGUCCCUUCAUCGAAUAAGAAUGCGCCUCACGUUGCAGAAAUAUCGGAUUAUAGUGAGACGCUUUGCGCAAGCAUCGGGCAACAGUCUUCUUACAUUACCCUACCAAUAACGUACGUUAUCUACAUAAAAUUUAACGCUGCAAGAAAUUUCGCAACUACUGCUGUAAAUUUCCGAAAAACGUUGAAAGCUGCGUAACGUGUCAUUUACGCAAACUUUGUCAUAUUGAAGUCGAUUAUGCUCACAGCCGUGAAAUGCAACGCAAAUCCCGCGCCGAUCGCGAUAACAUCGUGUGACAAGUUCUCGACAGCAAAAUAACAACAUGGUCCCACGCGAACGAUCCUUACGACGCCACGUAGGAAGCCGGGAGGAUCGGUUGGGAAGACGUAGUUAGGUCAGCGCGUGGGCAGACGUUCCUUAUAGCACAAUGAAGCCGUGUGUGCACACUCACACAAUACUUUUUUCUUUUGCGCGCACACAUACACACACACACAGAUACCACGGCAUAGAAAUGCAGCGCGCGCGCGCAGCCAGCGACGUCGUAGGGUGCUCACCACCGCUUCGAGUCGAGAGAUGGGGAAUGUUCGUUCACCAAGGUGGGGGUUGGUUGAUCGACCGUACCCGCUUUUCUACUCGUCCUGCCGAGCCCCG
rnacentral:lncRNA from 1 species